UAGGGAAUCUUCGGCAAUGGGGGGAACCCUGACCGAGCAACGCCGCGUGAGUGAAGAAGGUUUUCGGAUCGUAAAGCUCUGUUGUUAAGGAAGAACGAGUGUGAGAAUGGAAAGUUCAUGCUGUGACGGUACUUAACCAGAAAGGGACGGCUAACUACGUGCCAGCAGCCGCGGUAAUACGUAGGUCCCGAGCGUUGUCCGGAUUUAUUGGGCGUAAAGCGAGCGCAGGCGGUUAGAAAAGUCUGAAGUGAAAGGCAGUGGCUCAACCAUUGUAGGCUUUGGAAACUGUUUAACUUGAGUGCAGAAGGGGAGAGUGAAAUUCCAUGUGUAGCGGUGAAAUGCGUAGAUAUAUGGGGGAACACCGGUGGCGAAAGCGGCUCUCUGGUCUGUAACUGACGCUGGGGCUCGAAAGCGUGGGGAGCGAACAGG
rnacentral:rRNA from 1 species